rnacentral:misc_RNA from 1 species
UACUCUUCAAACUCCCAUUGGGGGUUUGGUAUUGGGCUGCUGCGUCCGACGCGUUUCCACGUGCUGGUCGCUGGCCUGAAAUGGAAUGGCCGGGUCGUUAUUCUCUGGGCCUUCAGCGUGAUAAGUUGAUUACAACGUCUUCGCUGAGAAUGUCCUGGAAGAGGAUCUUGCCUAAAGUCCAAUCUUUUUGACA